rnacentral:tRNA from 1 species
GAGGGUAUAGCUCAGUGGUAGAGUGUGUGCUUAGCAUGCACAAGGUCCUGGGUUCAGUCCCCAGUACCUCCA